GACGAACGCUGGCGGCGUGCCUAACACAUGCAAGUCAACUUGACGGAAGGAGCAAUCUGACCGUAGAGUGGCGCAAGGGUGCGUAACGCGUAAGUAACUUGCCCCAAGGUAAGGAAUAACGUCGAGAAAUCGGCGCUAAUACCUCAUAAUGCAGCGGAUCCGCAUGGAUAUGUUGUUAAAGGUUUACCGCCUUGGGAUAGGCUUGCGUCUGAUUAGCUAGUUGGUGUGGUAACGGCACACCAAGGCUACGAUCAGUAACUGGUCAGAGAGGAUGAUCAGUCACACUGGAACUGAGACACGGUCCAGACUCCUACGGGAGGCAGCAGUGAGGCAUAUUGGGCAAUGCUCGAAAGAGUGACCCAGCAACGCCGCGUGGAGGAUGAAGGUAUUCUAUAUCGUAAACUCCUGUGAGAGCAGACGAAAGACAGAUUAUAAUCUGAUGACUGUAUGCUCAGAGGAAG
rnacentral:rRNA from 1 species